CCCCCCUCCCUGCCUCCUUACUCACGGCACAGCUGUCCUUGCUGCCGCUUCCGGACCGGCGCCUGUCACACACAGGCAGAGCGGAAGACACAGAGCAGCAGCAGCAGUACAUGGAGGAGGGGGGAGAGCGGAAGACAUGGGGCGCACCAGCAGCGGUAUAGGGCACAUAAAGAUGGGAUCCAGACCCAGCCCACAGUCAAGAGCUUUGCCGGUGGUGAGCGGAAACCACACUAUCAGCUCCGAGUCCUAUCCUGCACAAUCACUGAUAGAGACCCACGUGUGACAGACUACUGCCUCUUCCGGAAGAAGUGAGGAGGCGCUGCACAUAUCUGAUAACUGAGGGGAUCGGGGCUCAUCACUCUGCGAACUCGCCAAUAGUGCCAGUGGUGGCUGGGGUGACACUGCCGAAAGUCGUCGCCUGGGUGGGGAUGAUGGAGCCGCAGAUUCCGAGCCAAGACGCCGUGUCUUACUUGGCCUCCUGGAAUAUGUGACUACACUGAAGUCUUACCUGCAAUCCCAGCCUCAUCCUGACUUGUCUGAGGCCUGUCUGGCCGGCUGGUCUGUGGGACUGUUGAAAAAGUGUACCAAACAUUAUUACCAUGCUUUGUGUAAAAAAAACCCCUGCAAAGCCUUAUUGUACUGUAACCAUCUAUUAGGUAUUGGAUAAACAAAUAAUUUCUGAUUAA